AGAGUUUGAUCCUGGCUCAGGACGAACGCUGGCGGCGUGCUUAACACAUGCAAGUCGAACGGAAAGGCCCUGCUUUUGUGGGGUGCUCGAGUGGCGAACGGGUGAGUAACACGUGAGUAACCUGCCCUUGACUUUGGGAUAACUUCAGGAAACUGGGGCUAAUACCGGAUAGGAGCUCCUGCUGCAUGGUGGGGGUUGGAAAGUUUCGGCGGUUGGGGAUGGACUCGCGGCUUAUCAGCUUGUUGGUGGGGUAGUGGCUUACCAAGGCUUUGACGGGUAGCCGGCCUGAGAGGGUGACCGGCCACAUUGGGACUGAGAUACGGCCCAGACUCCUACGGGAGGCAGCAGUGGGGAAUAUUGCACAAUGGGCGGAAGCCUGAUGCAGCAACGCCGCGUGCGGGAUGACGGCCUUCGGGUUGUAAACCGCUUUCGCCUGUGACGAAGCGUGAGUGACGGUAAUGGGUAAAGAAGCACCGGCUAACUACGUGCCAGCAGCCGCGGUGAUACGUAGGGUGCGAGCGUUGUCCGGAUUUAUUGGGCGUAAAGGGCUCGUAGGUGGUUGAUCGCGUCGGAAGUGUAAUCUUGGGGCUUAACCCUGAGCGUGCUUUCGAUACGGGUUGACUUGAGGAAGGUAGGGGAGAAUGGAAUUCCUGGUGGAGCGGUGGAAUGCGCAGAUAUCAGGAGGAACACCAGUGGCGAAGGCGGUUCUCUGGGCCUUUCCUGACGCUGAGGAGCGAAAGCGUGGGGAGCGAACAGGCUUAGAUACCCUGGUAGUCCACGCUGUAAACGGUGGGUACUAGGUGUGGGGUCCAUUCCACGGGUUCCGUGCCGUAGCUAACGCUUUAAGUACCCCGCCUGGGGAGUACGGCCGCAAGGCUAAAACUCAAAGGAAUUGACGGGGCCCCGCACAAGCGGCGGAGCAUGCGGAUUAAUUCGAUGCAACGCGUAGAACCUUACCUGGGUUUGACAUGGAUCGGGAGUGCUCAGAGAUGGGUGUGCCUCUUUUGGGGUCGGUUCACAGGUGGUGCAUGGCUGUCGUCAGCUCGUGUCGUGAGAUGUUGGGUUAAGUCCCGCAACGAGCGCAACCCUUGUUCACUGUUGCCAGCACGUUAUGGUGGGGACUCAGUGGAGACCGCCGGGGUCAACUCGGAGGAAGGUGGGGAUGACGUCAAGUCAUCAUGCCCCUUAUGUCCAGGGCUUCACGCAUGCUACAAUGGCUGGUACAGAGAGUGGCGAGCCUGUGAGGGUGAGCGAAUCUCGGAAAGCCGGUCUCAGUUCGGAUUGGGGUCUGCAACUCGACCUCAUGAAGUCGGAGUCGCUAGUAAUCGCAGAUCAGCAACGCUGCGGUGAAUACGUUCCCGGGGCUUGUACACACCGCCCGUCAAGUCAUGAAAGUUGGUAACACCCGAAGCCGGUGGCCUAACCGUUGUGGGGGAGCCGUCGAAGGUGGGACUGGUGAUUAAGACUAAGUCGUAACAAGGUAGCCGUACCGGAAGGUGCGGCUG
rnacentral:rRNA from 1 species